rnacentral:rRNA from 1 species
AACCUCCGCAAUGUGAGAAAUCGCGACGGGGGGAUCCCAAGUGUCAUUCUUAACGGGAUGGCUUUUCAUUAGUGUAAAGAGCUUUUGGAAUAAGAGCUGGGCAAGACCGGUGCCAGCCGCCGCGGUAACACCGGCAGCUCUAGUGGUAGCAGUUUUUAUUGGGCCUAAAGCGUCCGUAGCCGGUUUAAUAAGUCUCUGGUGAAAUCCUGUAGCUUAACUGUGGGAAUUGCUGGAGAUACUAUUAGACUUGAGAUCGGGAGAGGUUAGAGGUACUCCCAGGGUAGAGGUGAAAUUCUGUAAUCCUGGGAGGACCGCCUGUUGCGAAGGCGUCUAACUGGAACGAUUCUGACGGUGGGGGACGAAAGUUAGGGCGCGAACCGGAUUAGAUACCCGGGUAGUCCUAACUGUAAACGAUGCGGACUUGGUGUUGGGGUGACUUUGAGUUGCUCCAGUGCCGAAGGGAGCUGUUAAGUCCGCCGCCUGGGAAGUACGGUCGCAAGACUGAAACUUAAAGGAAUU